rnacentral:rRNA from 1 species
GACGAACCGUGCGAACGUUAUUCGGAAUCAUUGGGCUUAAAGGGUGCGUAGGCGGGCUCGUGAGUCAGGGGUGAAAUCCCUCGGCUUAACCGGGGAACUGCGUCUGAUACUGGAUGGCUUGAGUUUGGGAGAGGGAUGCGGAAUUCCUGGUGUAGCGGUGAAAUGCGCAGAUAUCAGGAGGAACACCAAUGGCGAAGGCGGCUCACUGGCUCGUUUCUGACGCUCAGGCGCGACAGCGUGGGGAUCAAACAGG